rnacentral:rRNA from 1 species
UACGUAGGGAGCAAGCGUUGUCCGGAAUCAUUGGGCGUAAAGCGCGCGUAGGUGGCCUCGUAAGUCCGCUGUGAAAGUCAAAGGCUCAACCUUUGAAAGCCGGUGGAUACUGUGAGGCUAGAGUACGGAAGAGGCGAGUGGAAUUCCGUGGUGUAGCGGUGGAAUGCACAGAUAUCAGGAGGAACACCAAUAGCGAAGGCAGCUCGCUGGGACGUACUGACACUGAGGCGCGAAAGCGUGGGGAGCGAACAGG